UACGAAGGGGGCUAGCGUUGUUCGGAAUUACUGGGCGUAAAGCGCACGUAGGCGGAUCGUUAAGUCAGGGGUGAAAUCCCAGAGCUCAACUCUGGAACUGCCUUUGAUACUGUCGAUCUAGAGUAUGGAAGAGGUGAGUGGAAUUCCGAGUGUAGAGGUGAAAUUCGUAGAUAUUCGGAGGAACACCAGUGGCGAAGGCGGCUCACUGGUCCAGUACUGACGCUGAGGUGCGAAAGCGUGGGGAGCAAACAGG
rnacentral:rRNA from 1 species